AGCGAACGCUGGCGGCAGGCUUAACACAUGCCAGUCGAGCGGGCAUCCUUGUGGUGUCAGCGGCAGACGGGUGAGUAACGCGUGGGAACGUGCCCUUCGGUUCGGAAUAACUCAGGGAAACUUGAGCUAAUACCGGAUACGUGCGAGAGCAGAAAGGUUUAUCUGCCGAAGGAUCGGCCCGCGUCUGAUUAGCUAGUUGGUGAGGUUACGGCUCACCAAGGCGACGAUCAGUAGCUGGUCUGAGAGGAUGAUCAGCCACACUGGGACUGAGACACGGCCCAGACUCCUACGGGAGGCAGCAGUGGGGAAUAUUGGGCAAUGGGGGCAACCCUGAUCCAGCCAUGCCGCGUGAGUGAUGACGGCCUUAGGGUUGUAAAGCUCUUUUCUCCGGGACGAUAAUGACGGUACCGGAGGAAUAAGCCCCGGCUAACUUCGUG
rnacentral:rRNA from 1 species